rnacentral:rRNA from 1 species
UUCCGGUUGAUCCUGCCGGACCUGACUGCUAUCGGAUUGGUACUAAGCCAUGUGAGUCGUUGUAGCAAUACAAGGCAUACGGCUCAGUAACACGUAGUCAAUCUAACCUAUGGACGGGGAUAACCUCGGGAAACUGAGGAUAAUACCCGAUAGAUCAUAAUGCCUGGAACGGUUUAUGGUCCAAAUGAUUCGUCGCCGUAGGGUGGGACUGCGGCCUAUCAGCUUGUUGGUGAGGUAAUGGCCCACCAAGGCUAUUACAGGUACGGGCUCUGAGAGGAGUAGCCCGGAGAUGGGUACUGAGACACGGACCCAGGCCCUAUGGGGCGCAGCAGGCGAGAAACCUUUGCAAUGUGCGCAAGCACGACAAGGUUAAUCCGAGUGUUUCCUGCUAAAGGAAUCUUUUGUUAGUCGUAAAACCACUAUUGAAUAAGGGGUGGGCAAGUUCUGGUGUCAGCCGCCGCGGUAAAACCAGCACCUCAAGUGGUCAGGAUGAUUAUUGGGCCUAAAGCAUCCGUAGCCUGUUCUGAAAGUUUCCGGUUAAAUCCAUUAACUCAACUAAUGGGCUGCCGAAAAUACUGCAGAACUAGGGAGUGGGAGAGGUAGACGGUACUCGGUAGGAAGGGGUAAAAUCCUUUGAUCUAUUGAUGAC